rnacentral:lncRNA from 1 species
GUAUACUGUAAUUUUCUACUUUUUAAAUCCAUGUGCCUUAUUCUGGUGCUGUCUUUAUAUUCAUCACAAUAUGUUUUGGUCAGCAUUUAAACAACUGGCUGCCUGGAUUUCUGGAUGCCAGAUUUAGAGAACUGGGUUGUUCACGCUGUCUUACUGCUUCCGCUAACCCCUGGAUGCCACCGGGCAACACCUCACAACAAGACCCACAUCUCCUGCUCCUGGUUCAGGGACGCAUCACUCUACUUCGUUUCUUCCGUGUUCUCUUUGGAGAACACGAUGUCCAAAUACCUUGGAUUUUUCUUAAUUGACUGUGUGUGCCAGGGGAGAAUUUAUCAUGCAAGUUUUGUUGUAAGCAACAAUCUCUACUUUCCUCUUUUCUUGGAGAUUUUUUUGGAAUGAAGAGGGGCAGAAACCAAGUGGUCACUGGUCUCCAGAACUUCAUGGACCUGGUGCCCGUGCCAGAGGCUCUGUGGUUCCCUACUAACUUUUGGGUCCCUUUAAAAUUUCUGCAAUGAUUGGUGGCAGUAAUUUGGGUGGAGUUACCUCAAAAUCAUGUUGUCUCCUUACAUUUUGUUUGUUCAUUUACCGUCUACUUCCUAUUCACAGCCCCUUUUAUCUCUACCCCACGUGACAAGACCAAUACUAUUGCCUUUCAGUGGGGACAGGGGUGGAUUCAGGCAGAGGCAAUAUAUCAUUCAAUUGAUUAUAAGCAGAGGAACUGCGUACUCAACACAAAAAUUAUGCUUGGAGGAAUCAUCUUGUCUAAUUCUGUGUUUUCACUGUCAUGUAUCUGAAUUCAUGGACUGCAUUAUCAGACAUUCUUAAAUGUCUUAUCGUGUGUGUUAGUGUCUUUGGGUGCUGUACCACAUUACCACAAACUGGGGGGCUUCAAAUGUCAGAGAGGUGUUCCCUCACAGACCUGGGGGCCAGAGGUCUGAAAUCGCGGUGUUACGGAGCCAGGCUUCCUCUGAAGCUGUAGCAGAGGGGGUGCCUUUGCCUCUUCCAGCUCCUGGUGUUUGCCGUCAAUCCCUGGCGUUUCGGGGGCUUAGUGGCUGGGUCAUUCCUGUCUCUGCCUUCGUUGUCACUUGACAUCCUCUCCAUGUGUCUCUGUCUUCAAAAGUGGCCUUCUGAUGAGGGCACUAGUUAUGUUGGA